CUGAUUUUUGGAAGCUAAGACGAGCUUACUCUCCUGGGGUGCAAGAAUACGUUGAAGCUGCAACAUUCUGUAAAUUCUGCCGAACAGGGACUCUUUUGAACCUGGAUGAGAUCAAUGCUAGUCUAUUGCCACUUAGUGAUCCAUCUCUUGAGCCUUUGCAGUUAAACAUCCUUGACUAUCUUUUGGGGCUUGCAGAUUUAACAGGAGAGCUGAUGCGGCUAGCAAUUGGUCGAAUUUCAGAUGGUGAGCCUGAAUUUGCUGAGAGGAUAUGUAAGUUUGUACGUGAAAUCUACAGGGAGUUGAGUCUCAUUGUCCCACAUAUGGAUGAUAGUUCUGACAUGAAAACAAAGAUGGAUACAAUGCUUCAAAGCAUGCUGAAAAUAGAGAAUGCUUGCUUUAGUGUCCAUGUGAGAGGAUCAGAAUACAUGCCACUGCUUGGAUCUAGCGAGCCGAGUUCCUUUUUGUUGGGGGUGUCUGACAUUGAAUUAUGAAGUGAUUUCAUCUCUAAUUGUCAGGGAGUUGUCCUUGUCUGGAGGCAUUUAGAAGAGACAGAUUUUCUUGGUGAUAAAAAGAAAUAGUUUUGGAAAACUUAGAAGUGAGCCCUUUGCCAAUGCAAACUCCUCUUUAGAAAAGUCACUUGCUUUGUUCAUUUUUGGAAAUAUUUU
rnacentral:misc_RNA from 1 species